rnacentral:lncRNA from 1 species
CAAUCAGAAAGCAUUCUCAAUCAACCCCAAUUUCUAUACGCACUCACCGACACUGAUAGCCACAACCGCAUUCAAUAAUAAAGGAAAGAAAAAUAGAUGUUGUGAUUGUUUUUUUUCUUCUUCAAAGUUCUAUAUAACCAAUUGUGAUUUCUUUCUUGUAGUUCACCAAUCUUCACUUAUAACUAAUGCGAAGUUGGAGGAAAAAAAAUUGUAGUCCCCGAAAAAUAUAUUACAUGGCGUAUAAGUAAAUACAGUUUAAACCAUAAUUAGCUUAAUGACUUAAAUACGUCCAACUUAAAUUUCACAAUCUCUUAUACAAGUAUUUGAGAAGAAUAGGGGUGUUAGUUUAGAGCAAACAUAUGCAUUGGUUUCAUUUGGACGAUGGAUAGUGUUAUUUAGGGAAAAAUUGAAUUAGGGUUGAGUUAAGAGGCCACCUUUUUAUAUUAGUAAUCAGAAAUAAACCCUCAAUAAUAACUUAAUAAUAAAAAAGACAUAUAAGCUAAUAUCUAACACUCCCCCUUAAGCUGGUGCAAAGAUAUCUCUAAUGCCCAGCUUGCUGAGAAUGUGAUAAAACGGUCUACUAGCCAUCCAUUUAGUUAGAAUAUCAUCCAGUUGAUCUCCGGUCUUCACAAAUAGAGUACAAAUUAGACUCUCCUUUAACUUUUCCUUGAUAAAGUGCCUGUCAUCUCCACAUAUUUGGUUUUAUCAUACUGGAUCGGAUGCUGUGCAAUAUUAAUAGAAGCUUUGUUAUCACAAUACAGUUUUAUAGACCCUGAUGGUGCUAAUUUCAGCUCCGUCAAGAUUAUCUUUAUCCAUAAUAAUUCACACUCCUUGGGCCAUGGCAUAAAAUUUUGCCUCCGCACUCGAUCUAGCAACAACAGUCAGUUUAUUAUGAAAUAAAAUACUAGAUCAUUCGCUUUGACACCAAAUUUGACGUUGCACUCGUACUCAAUCUAAGCAAUAACAGUGAAUAGAUAAAGAAAUAGAGAAGGGGAGAGGAAAGUUUGGCUUCACACUAGAAUUUUAAAAGAAAGAGGGAAGAAACUAGGUUUUAUUUUUCCAUUCAUAAUCAUUUGUCCCUAGAUUGUAACAAAGUUCUAUCUAAAUAGAGAAAAGAGAAUAAAAUAGAAUAACCCCUAAACAAUAAUAACCAAAUAAAUAAAAAGAAUAAAUAAAAAUACUACAAAAUAAAAUAGGCCCAAUGGGCAUAAUGAAACCAGGUAAGCCCUUUUGGUCCUAUGCCCAUAGAAACGGCUAAUAGUAGGUAUAGGCUCCAUCGAGUUUUCUUCACCCUGGCCACCAACUCCCCCAGGGUGAAGAAAACUCAACUUCAUCGAGUGUGAAGCUGGACGACUCUGAUAAUACUCGAAUAGAUUUCUGUCAAUUUGUUGUAAAUCAUCAUUGGAACCAAAAAACGAUGAACACCACCAUCCUAGUGUUAUUAAAGGCAAGAGGCACAAAAGCCUGUAGAGCCUUAGGCGCGAGGCGAGGCAUUAUGAGCACACAACUUUGAUAGGAAUGUGUUGAGCAAAAGACUCGGUUGACUCUGACACUCUAGUGUGUGGUGACAUAGGCAAAAGAUCUACCGACUUUCUAGGUUUAAACCCUUGAGGCUUGAACAAUUUUAAAAGAACUCAUACCAAUAGACCUAUUGAUAGAACUAUUAUAAACAAACUGAGCAGUAGGAAGAAUAGAAUCCCAAUUCCUAUAACUAUCAUAAGCACCGAAGUUUCCAAGACGUCGAUUGACGACCUCACUUUGGCCGUCAGUUUGCGGAUGGUAGGCUGUAGAGAAUUUGAGUUUGGUUCCUAGCAUGUGCCAAAAGGUUUUCCAGAAAUAACUCAUGAAAUGAACAUUCCUAUCAGAAACAAUGGACUUGGGAAGUCCAUACAAUUUGACGAUCUCAUUAAAAUAAAGCUUGGCAACCUGAGAAGGGUCGGAAGUCUUAGAGCAUGGGAUAAAUUGGGCCAUUUUAGAGAAAUGGUCCACAACGGCAAAAAUAAAAUCGUGCUUCCGAAAUGUAGGAGAAAAACCCAACACGAAUUCCAUGCUAACAUCUUUGCCAAGGACAACUUGGCACAUGAAGUAGUGUAUAAAGGCCAGUGUUUUGGGAGUUGAGAUAAUGCAACGUUUCAUGAUAUGAAUAAAGGACAAAUUCAUACGGAAAUAAAUAAUGCCGCCAAAAGCACAAUGCUUGAACAACUGCAUAGAAUUCCUUAUUAUAAGUGAAGUAUCUUUGCUUCGCGUCAUUUAAUUUCUAUCUAAAGUAAGCAAUGUGAUUUUGCUCUUGACUCAAUACUGUGCCUAUACCAAUACAAGAAGUAUCGCACUCCACUUCAAAUACUUUUGAAAAAAUCUGGGAGACGCAUAACAUGUACUUCAGUCAUUUUCUUCUUAAUCGCCCCAAAUGCUUUGGUUGCUGGAUUUGUCCUUCGAAAUUCACCUUUCUUCAUACAAUCGAUGAUGAGAGACAUGAUAGUGCUAAAUCCUUGAAUAAAUC